GGCAUAAAUGAGUACAACAAGGACUGGUCGAUUCGGGAGUCAGUAUAAUGAGUCUGAGUGGGGUAUACAUGCUUAACUGCGGUAUGGUAUCUCAUUGAGCUAGCACUCUAAACCCAGCUUAAGUCAUGAAAUUGACAGACCAGCUCUGAUGAUUUGUAUCAUAAUUUGGGACACCUGAAUAAAAAUGGUUUGACUGACUGAGUG